AGUGAACGCUGGCGGUAGGCCUAACACAUGCAAGUCGAACGGCAGCACAGUAAGCGCUUGCUCUUACGGGUGGCGAGUGGCGGACGGGUGAGGAAUACAUAGGAAUCUACUUUUUCGUGGGGGAUAACGUAGGAAAACUUACGCUAAUACCGCAUACGACCUACGGGUGAAAGCAGUGGAUCUACGGACCUUUCGCGAUAGAAUGAGCCGAUGUCGGAUUAGCUAGUUGGCGUGGUAAAGGCACACCAAGGCGACGAUACGUAGCUGGUCUGAGAGGAUGAUCAGCCACACUGGAACUGAGACACGGUCCAGACUCCUACGGGAGGCAGCAGUGGGGAAUAUUGGACAAUGGGCGCAAGCCUGAUCCAGCCAUACCGCGUGGGUGAAGAAGGUCUUCGGGUUGUAAAGCCCUGUUGUUGGGAAAGAAAAGCAGCAGGUUAAUCCCCCGCUGUUCUGACGGUACCCAAAGAAUAAGCACCGGCUAACUUCGUG
rnacentral:rRNA from 1 species